rnacentral:lncRNA from 1 species
GAAUUCCAUCGUAGUCACUCCAGUAAGGUCGAAUCUGAUUGACGAAAGGUAUUCCUAAAAUGAUAUCUUCAGUGAUAUCUUCGGUGAUGACGAAGUCAUUAACAAGGCAAAUGCCAUUGUUACAGAUAUGAGCUUUAGGGAGUUGAUAAUGGAUUGUCAUUUUUUCUCCCGUUGCUGAGUAAAGACGAGAGGUACUCUUUUGAAGGUACUUUGUAGGUACAAGACCUUUAACGAUACAGUUACUAUCUGCUCCUGUAUCGAAGAGUGCGACUUUAUUAAGAACAAAAUCUUUGUUUAUGACGAUUUUUA